rnacentral:lncRNA from 1 species
AGAGGGUAGAAGGCAGACCUGAGGACAUGGAGGAAAAGACUGUGAGGCAUAGCUCUCUUCAGUGCCUGUUGCCCAAGAAGGUGGGGCAAGGGUGUGUAAACUCAGCCUGUAAAAGGUGCUCUGUGCUUCCCCACGGAUCCGGCCUACCUCAGAGAGAGUGCUAGGGGACUUGCCAUUCACUCCCCUUGAAGAGCCCCAUGCCAGGCCUGCUGCUGGCUGCUCGUAAGAUCGACAGAUGGGACUCAUGCCUGUGGCCCUUCCCUGGCAGUGAGUCAAACUUGAGCCUCCAAGAGUAGGAAGACGGCGUCAGAGGCACCAGGAGCAGAGGGCAUCUUCUGGGGUCAGUCCGGAAGAUGAGGUAUUAUUGGCUGGAUCCUGAGUGUGUGUGGGCUAGCCACAGGGAGCCUGUUCGGAAUAGAGGGCAAAGGUCAGGAGACAAGAGGUAGUGUGGAUGGGCAGAGAGGACCUAGAUGAGCUCAGCAGUCAUAGGGAAGGAGCUCCUGCUAUGAUUAGGCCCACGCUGUUACUAUUGGACGGGCCCCAAGCUUUCCUGUGCGGUUUGCACUGCGCAGGGAUGAGGACAUUGGAAAUGGGAGGAGCGUGGGAGUAGAAAAAGCACCGUGUUACCACGUAGACUGGAGAGGCCACCCGGCCAGGCUUUGGUCAGUCUGAGGACAGGCACUUUAGGGAGGACAUGUCCCUAGCAUGGGUCUCCGGUGAUGGCCAGCUGAUUGCAGAUCAUAAGCCAGGUUAGGUUAGGCUUUGACGCUGGAGUUCUCAGUAGUGGCUCGGUCUGUGAUGGAAAAGGUGGAAGGCAGAGCUGGCAGAGGGUGCGAGCCAGGCCGGGCCAGUGGAUGGGAAUGAAGCGUUGCCAGGCGCAACGGGGCCUGAGGCUCACUUCCUUAGUUUAUUUAUUUUGGUUAUUUGAGACAGAGCCUCACAUACCCUAAGCUGGCCAGAACUUGCUAUGUAGUUGAAGAUCUUUGAAACGAUCUUCCUGCCUCCACCUCCUGAGUGCUGGAAUCACAAGCAUGUGCCACCAUGCAUGGCAACAUUCUAGAUUUAUAGAGGUGCACAUGUCUGUAGUCACACAGCAAUUCAGUUGAUACACCUGGAGCCUCCAGGUUGGCUUCUCAGGUGAGUGAGCAGCCUGCCAGCCUCCUAGAGGCAUGAGAGUGGUGGCCCAGACAUUCCUGACCCCUUUCCUGGCUUCGGGGAGCCACCGAAGGGACUGGCCAGUUCAUUUAUUCACCUCUCUUGGAAGUCCUGCCCUCUCUAGGCCCCAGUAUCCUCAUCUCCUAGAAGCUGGGGUCGAGGGUUGGGAUGUAUUAGUGGGAGAGCUGGAGUGCUUUGCCCGGCAUCCAUGAGGUCUUGAUUUCCAUCAGUGGAACUGGGCAAUCCGCUCUUGGGUCAGCAUUUCACAUGGCUAAGUCUGUGGAGGGCUAGGCACUCUUAGGCUGUAAACUUCACGGCGUAAGGGAACCUGAGGGGAAGUACGCCUGAGACGCUUGGUAAGGUCCCUCCUCCUUCAGUGGCAAGGGUCUGCUGUGGCCUCCGUGAGAUGGAUGGAGCUGCUGGAGGAAAGGCUCAAGAGGUGUGUGAGAAGUUAAGCCCCCAAGAAGGCGGGGGUAGGCAGAGCAGAGAAGGCUCUGGAUGUGAGACUUGGCCUGGCUGCUGGAUCUGCUAAAGGAAGCCCUGGGAUGAUUAAGAGAGAGGGGUGGAAAGACUGUGGGUGCGGACAACCAAGAGAAGUGCUCAGGUAGGGAUUGGGCGUAGACUGAGCUGGAGGUAGAGCCGGAGAGGAAAUUUUCAACUCCAUAGCCAAAAGGACCAGAGGCAACCUCCAAAGCCAGAGUUUGAGCCCUCCUUCCAGCCUAGAGCUGCUUAUUCAGCUUCUAUCUACCGGAGGUCAGAGGCUUGCAGAGCUUUGCUUAGUGAAGAGGCCCAGGAGGCUGAUGGGAGUUGUAGUUGUUGACCCACAGAUAGAUGGGAGGUGUAGUUCAUGCCCCCUGAAGGCCUAAUGGGACCUGUAGUUCCCGCCCACAGGAAGCUGAUGGGAAUUGCAGUUUCUGCCCCAGGGUACUUGAGUUAUUAGACUAAAAGAGAAGACAAUACCCUCUCCCUAUCACACGCCUUCCCAAUUAGUUAUCCUGGGCCCUGUUUUAGCUAGCGCGUCCCUCCCAGAUGGCUGUGUAUGUGUUUUCUUUUCUUUUUUUGCUUUCUCCUUCUUUCCGUUGUUUUAUUAUUGUUUGAACAAUAAUAAGAGGGCCAGAAGCAGUCAUAACCUGGCCAGGUUCUGGCGGUCCAUGGGGGUUCUGGGGAGGGGGUGGGGGGAAGUCAGUGGGGGUCAGAGGUGGAGGGUGAAGAAAGUGGAGAGUUAGGUUUAGCUCAGUAAUCAUAUGACCUCCGCCCUCACUCACUCUCCGUCCUCCCUCCCUCAUUCCCAAUCCUCCCUACCUCCAUGCAUCUUCUGAACUUUUCACCACCUCCCAGAAUCCUAAGGGACAAACCCAGCUCCAGUGUGUCUGAUCCUCCCUGCCCACUGUUCCACACAAGCAUUCCCGGUUAAAGUUUCCUCCCAUGGCCCUCUGAAAUUAGCCCCAGGUCCUUUCCACGGCCAGCCUCCCCAACCCCACCCCCACCCCCGAGUUCACACUCACAUAGACACGCCAGCCAUCGUCUCUCCUUUCCAUGGCCUCUCCACUGACCCUUCCUGUUCCCACGAUGUCACUGAAUGGUGCCACUCCCCAGACCUAACCCGCACACGCACUGUGUAAAUUUCAGUCUCGUGUUCAAUGAGGGGGAAGAGAGAGGGAGGAGAGAGAUCUUUCUGGAGGAAGCAGGCUGUCCAGGGAGGGAGAUGCCAAACAGAUAGACAGAAAACGUUGUACGGAAAAGUUGUUUUUUCUUAUUUUUUUUCGGGAGAACCCGCUUACACAGCUCUGUUUGUAAUUUUUUUCUUCAUGCUAAAAUCACACGGCCUAUUUGUUGAUGUAAGUUGCCUGAAUUCCGUGGUAUGCUAUCUUCUUUUUUAAAAACAAAAGCAAAAAAAAAAAAAAGCAAAAAGAAAUAUAUAUAAAAAAAACCCUAAAAGAUAUUGUUGUUAGGUUUGUUUAAAUGCUGCUGUUGUAUGUUUUUAAAGCCUUAAACCAGU